AGGGAAAUAGCUUAGUGGUAGAGCAUAUGUUUAGUAUGCAUGAGGUCCUGGGUUCUAUCCCCAGUGCCUCCA
rnacentral:tRNA from 1 species